ACCAGUGAUGGCUCUCUAGACCCUCCUGUGUGUCUACACUGACUUGGGACAAAUGUCUAUCAGGGCGAGAGGAUCUAAACUGAAAUGGGUGAUCUCCCGGGUCUCCACGUGUGUCUGCCCUGCCUGGGAUGUCUUCCCAGUGACGCAGGCAUGUCUACACUGCGACUACCCUCUGCUUCCCCAUGGGUGUCUAUUCUGGCUUUGGCGUCUCCAGCCUGUCCCAAGUGUGCUUACACGGUCUUCGGAUGCUUCACCAAUACCCCGGGUGUGUGUAUUCUGACGUAGGGUAUUUGCUUACCGCCCACAAGGGCACUUCUGCCCUGCGAUGUCUCCCUACUUAACCAAACACGUCUACACAAAACCGAGAUGUCCCCUACAUCUCAAGAUAUGACACUGACGUGGGCUGUCCUGUCAUUCCCACAGCUCUGUGUUCACCGACACGGGAUGUGUCCCUACCACAAGUGUGUCCGCGCUGACCUGGGACAGCUUCCUAAUUGUGCAGGUGUCCCUCGCGAACCUGGGAUAACUCCACAUACGUCAGAGGUGUCUACGCAGACCGGGCAGAUCUUCCUAAUUCCCUACUUGUGUCUACACGACCUGGGAUAACUCCCUAAUUCCCUGGCGCGUCCACACUGUCAUUAGAUGCCCCAUAUCGCUGUCUGUUGAGCGUGGUGUGGGAUCCCCCGGACUCCCCAGCUGUGCCUCCUCCCAGCUGCCCCUGGAACUCCCCCUCGCUUCCCAGCUGCGUCUUCCGUGCUCUGGGCCUUUCCAGCUCCCUCGUGCCUGCUUAGUGCUCCGGGCGUGUGCACGCAGCCCUGGGACGGCUCUCUGCAUUCCCGGGAGCAUCUGCAACGACCUUGGGUGUGUCCUUCACGUCCCAGCUCUGUCCCGCAGACCUGGGACGUCACUUUAUUUACUGGGUGUUUCUACGCUAACCUGUGAUGUCUCCCUGUUCCCCAGUUUUGUGGAUUUUGACACUGGCGGUCUCCCUAGUUACACGAGUGUGUCUACUCUGAUCUCCCGAUGUUUCCCCAACCCCCUGGGACGUCACACUGAGAGGUGAUGGCUCUGCGUAUCCGGCGGGUCUCCGUACUUCCCCUGUGUCUCUGCUCAGACCGUGGAUGUUUUUCUACAUCUCCAGAUCCACGUAUUCCCAAGGAGUGUGUAUCCUGCCCUGCUGUGUAUACAUAGUUCCUUACGACGGCCCCUCGGUCCCCCAGGCAAGUCUGUCCACUCGGGCGUCGGACCCGAUUCCGCGGGUGAGCCUGCUCUGGCCUGGUUC